UGACGGCGGCUUCACCUCAGAUGACCCAACCAGCCAGACUGACUGUCUGCUAGCUAGCCCCGUUUGAACCUACCGUACAGCGGGCAACAACAACACUGGAACCGACGCUACUAACCCAACUGUCACCCGCUCUACCGUUAUCAAGACACCGAUAAAACGGAAAAGAAAAAUAAACGGGAAUAUAUUUUUUCCUUUCACUCGGCUCGGCGGAGUUACUCGGAAGGGGAAGACGGGGAGAGGGAGCCAGCCAAAACAAAUGCAUUUCCCGACAUGAAAGCACAACAUCCAGAGACGGGCAGCCACGUUUCGCGCUGCUGUGUGCGGGGGAAAGGCUAAAGCUAAUAGCUUCAACGGGCUCAUUAGCACGGGCUAACCGGCUAAAAGCUAGCUCAGUUGGCUAAUAAAUUUAUUAUGUGCACUUUCACCGGGGGUGGAAGGGGGACGGCAAAAGUUAGCGUCCAGAAAAACAUCGCGAACCAGAUGACAUUCACUUGUCUGACAACUAUCCCCAAAUAUCAGCGGAGAGCGGCGACUAAAGUUACCUGACAGCCAGAUGCGUUUGGGGACAAGCCGGUGAAAAUAAUGGAGGGCUUUUCGGAGCAGGAUCGAUGCCACAGCCUGAGUCAUUUUUGCUGUGGAGUUUUCUGCAACUGGAAGCUUUUGCCAGUGUCUCCAGAAUACACAAUCAGGAGAGUUUGAUGGCCUUCUGCUGGGUGACAGGGGUUACCAUAACAACCCAGGCUGAUGACCUCAUACCCUGGCCCUGAACCAGGCCCCCAACAGAACUUCAACUGGGCUCACUGCAGUACCAGAGCCCGGGUGGAGAUGACCAUAGGCCUGCUGAAAGCCCGUUUCCAGCGCCUACAUCUACUCAGGAUGACCCCUGAGAGGGCCUGUGAUAUUACUGUGGCAUGUGUUGUUCUUCAUAAUAUUACCACUAUUAGAGGAGAGCAACACCCUGCCCUACAAACUGAAGACCCAGAUGAUGACCCCAUCCACCUGCAGCUAUCCAGGACAGCAGAGCAGUCAGCGACACCGUAUGCAAUAAUCACUUUAGAGUUUAAGUCACCAUCAUCACCACCACGGCAAAUAAAGACAUGAUACACAUUUCA